CUUCUUCUGCAAUACUUCUUGCUUUUGAGAGAGAGUGAGAGUAUAAAUAUAAAUUCGUUCGACGGGGCGGUGCUCUUGCGGCUGCGACAUCCACCGUUAUCACUGUCUACUAGAAUUCGAUGACCGAAGGGCCCAAAAUUCUGCAGUAAGAUUUUGAAAGUUAGAGGCAAUGUUCACCGGCUACGAGAACUACACCGAAUUACGUACGUGAUUGCUCAAUCUGUUAGAACGUUUAUUGUGUUUGGCUUCACUUCUCCAUUCGCUACAAAAGAUUUCGAUUAAAGUAAUUAGUAAAGUUGGGUUCAUCAACGUUUGGUUUUAGUGUUCAUCCACUACUCAAAGGUCAGUUCUAACAUAAGUUGCAUCCUAUCAGUACGUUAUGUUCGCAUAAGUCGAAAUUUUUGCAAUUUUUCGAUCUUCCUCUGUUUCUACCCAUAUACAAUUAGGGUAAAUUGGGAAACGUGG